rnacentral:rRNA from 1 species
GCCUAGCCUUAAACAAAAGCAAUGGUAUACAUCUUUGCUUGCCAGGGAACUACAAGCCCCAGCUUGAAACCCAAAGGACUUGGCGGUGCUUUAGACCCACCUAGAGGAGCCUGUUCUAGAACCGAUAACCCCCGUUAAACCUCACCUUCUCUUGUUUCUCCCGCCUAUAUACCGCCGUCGUCAGCUUACCCUAUGAAGGCUUAAUAGUGAGCACAAUUGGCACAGCCCAAAACGCCAGGUCGAGGUGUAGCGCACGAGAAGGGAAGAAAUGGGCUACAUUCACUGACCCAGUGAACACGAACAAUGCCUUGAAAUAGACAUUCAAAGGAGGAUUUAGCAGUAAGGGGGGAAAAGAGCGCCCCCCUGAAACUGGCCCUGAAGCGCGC